rnacentral:rRNA from 1 species
CACGUAGGGCGCAAGCGUUGUCCGGAAUUAUUGGGCGUAAAGAGCUCGUAGGCGGUUUGUCGCGUCUGCUGUGAAAUCCUCAGGCUCAACCUGGGGCUUGCAGUGGGUACGGGCAGACUAGAGUGCGGUAGGGGGUGACUGGAAUUCCUGGUGUAGCGGUGGAAUGCGCAGAUAUCAGGAGGAACACCGAUGGCGAAGGCAGGUCACUGGGCCGCAACUGACGCUGAGGAGCGAAAGCAUGGGGAGCGAACAGG